rnacentral:misc_RNA from 1 species
AUUUUUGUCUUAUCUCCUCCCUACAGUUUGUAGAUAUGAGCAAGUCAUACAAUAUAGAACCUCUAGCAUACAAGCCUUCGUCAAAUGAUAAGUUUGAUGAAAUAGAUAUAAGAUCACCAGAGAGCAUUGAUGUCAAGCUCUCAGAUAACAAUGGCAGCCCUUUCCGCGGCAUGGGGAAGGAUGAGUUAUUGGUACACUCCUCCAAACCGUUCUGGAGGCGUCUGCGCAUGAUAUGCAUCUCCAUCAUCCUCCUGGGCUGGCUGGCGCUGAUCAUAACCGUGGUGGCGCUGGUGUUGGUUUACCCGAAAUGCAAAUCCCCGGAUUCCAGAUCCUGGUGGCAAAACGAGGUCAUCUACCGAAUCUACGUACGGAGCUACAAGGACAGCGACGGAAACGGCGAAGGAGACUUAGAUGGAGUGGCAUCUAAAUUGGACUACAUCAAGGACCUUGGGGUCGGUGUAAUAUCACUGAGUCCCGACUACGAAGAUGACGGAACUGAUGGCGACUUCCACAUCAAGAACCACAUGAAGAUUGCCGGAUCCGUUGGCGGGGACGACGCAUUGCAAAGACUUAUCACGCAAGCGCACGGGAAAGGUCUUAAAGUGAUACUGGAUUUCGUCCCUUCACAAACCAGCGACCAGAGUGAUUGGUUUAAAUGGAGUCAAGAGGCGAGAUUCAGGAACGAUACAUACCGAAACUUCUAUGUAUGGACAAACACACCAACAAACUGGAAAUCCAUGUAUGGGGGUGGCGCAUGGAACACGUCUUCUGAGAGGUCAGGAGAAUACUACCUACAUCAAUUUCUACACAACCAGCCUGACCUUAACCUUCGUAGUCCGCAGGUCAAGGAGAAACUCAAUGAAAUUUUGACGCAUUGGUUGAACAAGUCGGUGGACGGGUUCUACAUAAGGAACAGCGCCUAUCUCUUUACAGACUAUGACCUACGGGAUGAACCGAAAGUCCCAAGUGCCGUAGGAGAUGAAUACAGUGACUACGACCAUAUGUACACAAAGAACCUUCCAGAAAUUUAUGACAUGUUUGCAAGAUGGCGCACAACAACUGAUGCAUAUACGGAUAAGUACAGGUAGAAUCAUUAGAAUUCACAAAAACCAUUUAAAAACUCUGUAAAUGAAAAGACGAGCAAAACAAACUGUUUAGAAGUCAACGUAGAAUGCCUAAAUUCAAAUCAGGAGUGUUCCCCUUUACAGAGUUCUAAUGGCUGAUCCAGACCCUAUGUCCAACAAUGUAGAGAUGAUGAAGUAUUACGGCCACUUCCAGAGAGACGGGGUUCAUCUUCCCGUCAAGAGGAGACAGUUUCCUACAGACUGUGGCGGUCAGUGCAUUAGGGAAUAUGUCAAUGGCUGGAUGGACAACCUACCCUCAGGUCGCUGGCCGACGUGGUCCCUUGGUGAUGAGAUGACAAAACGUUUUGCAACCAAUCACAGCGAGAGUUUUAUUCGCUGCUUUGCAAUGCUGUCAAUGACGCUACCCGGCACCCCGAUCCUAUAUUAUGGGGACGAAAUCAACAUGGUCGACCUAAGUAACCAACCCAGCAGCAGCACAUCGCGGAAUCAACCGAUGAGGGGACUCAUGCAGUGGGAUAACACACCCAAUGGGGGGUUCACCAACGGAACAAGUCCAUGGAUCAGUGUUGGUGCUGACUAUCAAACCAAUAAUGUGAAGAAUCAGAGUGCUAAAGGGGACUCUCUCAUGUCUUUCUUCAAAAACCUUACCACCCUGAGAUCAGACGACACCUUCCGUAUAGGAGACUACUAUCCAACCGUGGUUGAUGAUGCUGUGUUUUCUUUUGUUCGAGAAUUUGAUGGAAAGAAAGGGUAUUUGGUGGCCAUUAAUUUUGCCAACACGGCACAGUCACGUGAUUAUGCGAAAGCCCACAGCACCAUACAGAGCAAAGCCUCGUUUGAGCUGACGACGGGUGGAUCCGAGAGUUUUGACGCGGACACUGACGUGGACACUAGCAGUCUUACGCUAGGUCCCCAGCAAGGAGUGGUAGUUUCGUGGGACUACGUGGCCAAGGAACUCUGAUCCUCUUUAAACUUUUACUGCAAAUAUGAUAAUCAAGAGUGACUUUUUAAUGUAUGGCCUCAUUAAUCCAGACAAAUUGGAUGCGUUGAAACAAAUUCUACAGCUCUUCUCUUGAUACCUUUCUUCAUUAAAAAAAUCAAAUUGC